CGGCUGUCCCAUCCCCGCUGUCCCAUCCCUGCUCUCCCGGCUGUCCCGGCUGUGCCGUUCCCGCUGUCCCAUCCCGCUCUCCCGGCUGUCCCGGUGCCGUUCCCGCUCUCCCGUUCCCGCUGCCCCAUUCCCGCUCUCCCGUUCCCGCUGUCCCGUUCCCGCUCUCCCGGCAGUGCCGUUCCCGCUGCGGCGGCGGCGGCGGCGCUGACCUGUCGCGGUUCUUGGUGAGCAGGUUGCGCUCGAUGCCCUCCAUGAGGUUCUCGAAGCACAGGUGCAUGGCCUGCUGCUUCUCGGGGGGCUGGCUGUUCACGAUGCUGUUCCUCAGGUCCGAGAAGUACUGCGGGAGCGGCACGGCCGCGCCUCAGGGCCCGCCCGCCACGGCGCCGGAGCGCCCCGGGAGCCGGGCACGGAGCCGCACGGCUCCGCUCCGGGAUGGGCCCNNNNNNNNNNCCAAAACUGGGAUCAUCCUGGCCAUGGGAUCAUUCCAAAAUUGGGAGCGUUCCAAAAUUGGGAGCGUUCCAAAAUUGGGUCAUUCCAAAAUUGGGUGAUUCCAAAAUUGGGUCAUUCCAAAAUUGGGACCAUCCCAAAAUUGGGUCAUUCCAAAAUUGGGUCAUUCCAAAAUUGGGAUCAUUCCAAAAUUGGGAGCGUUCCAGAACUGGGAUCAUUCCAAAAUUGGGAUUGUUCCAAAAUUGGGAUCAUCCUGGCCAUGGGAUCAUUCCAAAAUUGGGUCAUUCCAAAAUUGGGACCAUUCCAAAACGGAUUGUUCAAAAAUUUGGAGUGUUCCAAAAUUGGGAUCAUCCUGGCCAUGAGAUCAUUCCAAAAUUGGGAGCGUUCCAAAAGUGGGACCGUUCCAAAAUUGGAUCAUUCCAAAAUUGGGUCAUUCCAAAACUGGAUCAUGCCAAAAUUGGGAUCAUUCCAAAAUUGGGACCGUCCCAAAAUUGGGAUUGUUCCAAAAUUCGGAGUGUUCCAAAAUUGGGAUCAUCCUGGCCAUGGGAUCAUUCCAAAGUUGGGAUCAUUCCAAAAUUGGGAUUGUUUCACAAUUCGGAGUGUUCCAAAAUUGGGAUCAUCCUGGCCAUGGGAUCAUUCCAAAAUCGGUACUAUUCCAAAAUUAGGACUGUUUCAAAAUUGGGAUCAUCCUGGCCAUGUGAUCAUUCAAAAAUUGGGAUCAUUCCAAAAUUGGGUCAUUCCAAAAUUGGGACCAUACUAAAAUUGGGAGCGUUCCAAAACUGGAUCAUUCCAAAAUUGGAUCAUUCCAAAAUUGUGAGCAUUCCAAAAUUGGAACUGUUCCAAAUUG
rnacentral:lncRNA from 1 species